rnacentral:rRNA from 1 species
AACGGGUGAGUAAUGCGUGACCAACCUGCCCCAUGCUCCAGAAUAGCUCUUGGAAACGGGUGGUAAUGCUGGAUGCUCCAACUUGACGCAUGUCUUGUUGGGAAAGUGUUUAGUGGCAUGGGAUGGGGUCGCGUCCUAUCAGCUUGUAGGCGGGGUAAUGGCCCACCUAGGCUUCGACGGGUAGCCGGCCUGAGAGGGCGGACGGCCACAUUGGGACUGAGACACGGCCCAAACUCCUACGGGAGGCAGCAGAC